rnacentral:misc_RNA from 1 species
UGUCACUGUUGAAGGUGAACUGUAUGCACUUGAACCAUCUAGUUCUCUUGAUAGUGCUAGAAUUAAGGUAUAUGAUUACCAAAAUGAUACCUGGAAAGUUUUGCUUGGAGACAUUCCUAUUAGUGACACUAGUAAUUCGGAGUCUUCCUAUUUGCUUGCUGGUUUACUUGGAGAGCUUCAUGUAAUCACUAAAGAUGCCAACAACAACAUUAUAGUUCUACAGGCAGAUGUACAAAAUCAUUUAGCUUCCUCUUCCUCAUCAUCUUCAUCAUUUUUAUUUGAUAACUCCUUCCGCGAGGAGGCUGAGUCUGCAGCAGAAUCAGAAAUACAUUUUUGGAGGAUCAUUGCAUCUAGAAAUGCUAGUUCUGCUGAUCUGGUUAGUUGUCAGACCCUUGAUCUGUAGUUCCAACACUAGUUGUCAGACCCUUUCUGUAAUUCAGUGUGCUGAUGUAUGUGUUAUAUAUAAUUUGUUAAGUUCUUACAAUUAUAAAGAGAUAAUACUUGAAUGGAAAAGAAAAUUUAUUUUA